rnacentral:rRNA from 1 species
AUGGCACGCUACAGAUUAGCAGCUUUUGGAUUUAGAGGAGCACUGAAAUUACAAAACAAGUACUAUGGCCCUUUUCUGAUCACACAAAAGAUUGGCAAGUUGGCUUAUAAACUACAGUUUCCUGCACAUGUGCAGAUUCAUCCUAUUUUUCAUGUCAGUCAGUUGAAAAAGCACAUUGGUGCUAAAUCUAUUCCUAGCCCAAACCUACCUAUGGUAGCAGCUGAUGGUACAAUCAAAACAGGACCUGCAACGGUGCUUCAAGUCAGACAAGUACCGAGGCACAACCUGCCGGUUGUUCAGUGGUUCAUUCAAUGGGAAAAUCUCUCUGCUGAAGAGGCUACAUGGGAGGAUGCGGAUUUCAUCAAGUACACAUUUCCAGCCUUUUUCAGAGCAGUCACUGAAGAAUGGCGGGCAAAUCAACAAGCGCCGUGA